UUCAGCCCACAGCUUUCAUUUUUCAGCUCUCUGCUGGCUGUCAGCUCUCUUGGUCUGGUCUUUCUGAGGACAGUCAGUUGGACUCUCUCUUUGCUGUUGUUGGUGCCUUGCAUGGAGUGCUGGUUUGGGAACCUCCCUGUAUCUGUUUAUCUGUUAUGUAUGUUAUAUAUGCGUUGUAAAGGACAAGGGUUCCCUCACAACAUUGUAAUUGGAUGUAUUCUGUUUGGAGGAGAGGAAAACAGAGAAAUGUCAUUUCGAUUUUCCACACAUAGUAUCUCUCAAUUUUACAAGCAGAAUCAUUUAAAACAGCCCCAGGUUAGCACUUGGGACUUUUGCAUUACGUUUGUAUUUUCUUAUAAAUGACAUGACAGGUGGGGGUGCAAAGCUUAAUUUCAAAAGAAUAAAAUCUUGACCCAUAAUAUAUUUUGUGGAUUUUUGAAUAUUUUUGGCUUAAAAAAAUCCAGAACCUGCAUAGCUUUGCUUUGCAAAAAAGAACACGGGGCCUUGUUUUAAUUGAGGCAUUUGUCUGGAGAAUUUUUUUUUUUUUUUUUUUUUUGGCCUACCAUAUGAUGGAUUCCAGACUUGCCUAUGAAAAGUUACUCAUAAGAGAGCAUGAAACUUUCAAAAAGAAAGUCUUUGUGAGGUUACAACCCAAAGCAUAUAGUAUUUGAUGGAUAACUAAUACAGAUAAUUAGCAGAUUAAAAGACCCAGUGAGUCCAAGCAGGAACAGCAGAGCAGAGGGGGGAGAUUAUCAACAGUAAAAAAAUUCAAAAUGAACAGAGCAAUUGGAGCAUGAAUGAACUCAAUUUAAUUUGUAGGUACUUAUAUUUCCAUGGAAUUAUAGUCUUGUUCCAUAUGCUGGGUUAUUUUUGUAUGUCAGUGCUGAGGUUCUGUGCCUCAGAUGUCUGUCUGAGGAGUCAGUUUGGUUUGGCCACUUGGGUCCCAUUACUGAGUUCAGCGGUUAUACAUUCUGAUUUUCCUUCUGAAAAGGAGAGACCUAUAUAAUAUCCAAGACCUAAAACGCCAGACACAAUCAUUUUCAAAAGUCAGAGGAACACACACACACACACGCACAUGCACGCGCACACACACACACACACACACACGCGCAUGCACACACACACACACACACACACACACAAACACACACACACAAACACACACACACACACACAAUUUGAGAAGCAGAAGUUAACCUGACCAUCUUAAGCCUUAUUAUUUCUCUCGUGGUUGGGAAACUUCAGGAAAAUUGAGGACUCAUCUCUUCUCUCCAUUGUACCUGGGAGAAAUUCUGAGCCCAGCUGCUCAACCCACAUUUGGGCAUCUGUGAAUGGAGGAAGGAUAAAGAGUUACAGGCUUUUAAAAACCUACUUGGUCCUCACUUUGUUUGGCAUGUAGACAAAAAGUGCCUAAGAGAAAUUCUUGAUUUAUCAGCAGGUAAGAAGUAUAAAGCAGCACCAGAUGAAAAAGCAGAGAGGUCUGAGCUGGAAGUUGCUCAUUGCCUUUGUGGUUACUGAGGCUUUGUUCUGCUGGCUGUGUUCCCAGUAGUCUGCAUGGUAUAAAGCAGCCCUCUUGUUGGUGAGGCUCCUCCCACUUGUGGGCAAUGUCAGUCAAGUUCUAUCUCUAAACUCUGUAACUCUUUGUUGCCUUUCAGGAGUCUCUUUUUCCAGUCUCAGAUUCCAGGACUCCUCCUGGCCCGUUUUUUCUUUUUCACUUCUUUUGCAACAAGGUCUUUUGCUAAGUUAUGUGCAAAUGAUAGCAGCUUUAAGAUACUAAAACUCCCAGCCUGUUAUCAGGUAAGAGUUUUAAGAAAAGUUGGACAGUACAUUAUCAUAUUAUAUGAGGGUUAGAGAAGGUUUUUGAAUUUGGGUUUUCCUGGUAUUUCAGGAGAAAAAAAAAUGUAUAAUUCCUUAGCAGCUUGUGGCUGAAUUCCUUCUGAGAAGGGGCAUACAGAACCAUAGGACCAUUCUCCUGAUGGAUUCUGGAAACGUCUAUAUCUGAGAAUGCAGUUCAAGGAUGAAAAGAAGGCUUGACCAUCCUGUAAAAUUAAUAUGCGCUUCAUAAGUAAUCAAUGAGAUUUUUAAAAAAUCUAUCUAGGACAGUGGUUCUAAACCUUAGGGUCAUGAUCCCUUUGUCAAACCUCUAUCUCCAAAAACUACAUUUUGUAACAGUAGCAAAAGUGCAGUAAUGAAGUAACAACAAAAUGGUUCAUGGUUGGGGCCACCACAAUAAGAAGAGCUAUGUAAAAGGGUUACACAUUAGUAAUGUUGAUAACCACUGGUCUAGGAUGAUCGUAUUUUCCUUCACCAGUUAGAGUUAGUCCUAUGGGAAUUUUUUCACUCUUUUUUUUGUCUUUUUCAAAGUAGCCAACUGUUGACACAUCAUUUCUUUAAUCCAAUGCCAGAAAAGGUUUAUAAAAUUUUUAUCAUAGGUAUGUAGGGUUUUAUGGAUUGACUACAGGAUGGAAAUAUCACAUGCUCUAUUAAGACAUUGUCUUUUCCUUUGAGAAACUUCUUUUAAGGUAGUUGGUGCAGGAUGUAUUUCCAAAAUCAACAGGAAUG
rnacentral:lncRNA from 1 species